GGCUCGGUGGUGAAUGGUUCACACCUGUAACUUAUGAGUGAGUUUGUCCUGCAUUAAGCAGGGAAAGCCUGUUCGAAUCAGGUCCGAGCCA